rnacentral:rRNA from 1 species
AGAGGUCCCGCCUGCCCAGUGACUAUGGGUUCAACGGCCGCGGUAUUUUGACCGUGCUAAGGUAGCGCAAUCACUUGUCUUUUAAAUGAAGGCCCGUAUGAAUGGCACCACGAGGGCUUAACUGUCUCCUUCUUCCCGUCAAUGAAACUGAUCUCCCCGUGCAGAAGCGGGGAUUACAACACAAGACGAGAAGACCCUAUGGAGCUUCAGGCUCCUGAACAGGCUAUGUUAAUCACCCCCAUACAAGAGGUUAAACUUAUUAGACACUGUUCUAAUGCCUUUGGUUGGGGCGACCACGGGGAAAGAAAAAACCCCCAUGUGGAAUAGGAACACAUCCUCCCACAACCCAGAGUUGCAACUCUAAGUACCAGAACAUCUGACCAACAAAUGAUCCGGCACAGCCGAUCGACGAACCGAGUUACCCUAGGGAUAACAGCGCAAUCCCCUUCUAGAGCCCGUAUCAACAAGGGGGUUUACGACCUCGAUGUUGGAUCAGGACAUCCUAUUGGUGCAACCGCUAUUAAGGG